AUGCACAUACUGUGAGCUCGAUGAGUAGGGCGGGACACGUGGUAUCCUGUCUGAAUAUGGGGGGACCAUCCUCCAAGGCUAAAUACUCCUGACUGACCGAUAGUGAACCAGUACCGUGAGGGAAAGGCGAAAAGAACCCCGGCGAGGGGAGUGAAAAAGAACCUGAAACCGUGUACGUACAAGCAGUGGGAGCACGCUUAGGCGUGUGACUGCGUACCUUUUGUAUAAUGGGUCAGCGACUUAUAUUCUGUAGCAAGGUUAACCGAAUAGGGGAGCCGAAGGGAAACCGAGUCUUAACUGGGCGUUAAGUUGCAGGGUAUAGACCCGAAACCCGGUGAUCUAGCCAUGGGCAGGUUGAAGGUUGGGUAACACUAACUGGAGGACCGAACCGACUAAUGUUGAAAAAUUAGCGGAUGACUUGUGGCUGGGGGUGAAAGGCCAAUCAAACCGGGAGAUAGCUGGUUCUCCCCGAAAGCU
rnacentral:rRNA from 1 species